UCAUAUCUUUGUACCAACAAUGGAGAGACAUCCGCUCCUUCACAAGUAUUCAGAAGUCUCUUUUCUCCAAACUUGAAUUCAAGGCCUGCUCAUUAACUUCAUCUUCUUAGCUGGGUAUGCAUUUUUAGCAAAGAAGGCAAGUGUUAGAGCAACAGAGUAAAAUUGUCUCUGUCUGACCUAUGGUCACUGGUUCAAGUCAUGGGAUCAACCAUUUAUUCUUGUGUCAAGGUUCAACUCAAAAGCUAAGUUGGUCGAACAUCUCAAUCUUAAAUAUUCAUCUUCUGCAAUCAUUUUGUGCCUCACUUCGGAGUGUGCCUUAAUUUUUUCUCCAUCGUUGCACCAGACUGUUCUAUUAUUUAUGGUGAGUUUCGUUUGAAUUUUGUUUCCUCUUUUGUGUUUGUAUUGUAUCGACUAAUAUUGCACAUGUAGAGCUAUUUCUUCGUAUCUCUCGCUCCGAUCUUUUAUAGUUCAUGUGAAUUUAGUUCAUUGUGGGAUGAAUUGAACUUCAAUCUCUGAAAAUAAGUGUUAUCUAUCUUCUUA